GGCCAUAGCUUAGUGGUAGAGCAUCUGUUUUGCAUGCAGAUGGUCCCAGGUCCAAUCCCCAGCAGCAUCU